GACGAACGCUGGCGGCGUGCUUAACACAUGCAAGUCGAGCGGUAAGGCCCUUUCGGGGGUACACGAGCGGCGAACGGGUGAGUAACACGUGGGUGACCUGCCCUCAGCUCUGGGAUAAGCCCGGGAAACUGGGUCUAAUACUGGAUAUGACUCCACGGUGCAUGCCGUGGGGUGGAAAGCCUUGUGCGGCUGAGGAUGGGCCCGCGGCCUAUCAGCUUGUUGGUGGGGUGAUGGCCUACCAAGGCGACGACGGGUAGCCGGCCUGAGAGGGCGACCGGCCACACUGGGACUGAGACACGGCCCAGACUCCUACGGGAGGCAGCAGUGGGGAAUCUUGCGCAAUGGGCGAAAGCCUGACGCAGCGACGCCGCGUGAGGGAUGACGGCCUCCGGGUUGUAAACCUCUUUCAGCUCCGACGAAGCGAAAGUGACGGUAGGAGCAGAAGAAGCACCGGCCAACUACGUGCCAGCCGCCGCAGUAA
rnacentral:rRNA from 1 species